rnacentral:tRNA from 1 species
GUGGAAUCGCAUCGCAGUUGACUGUUAAUCAAUUGGUCGUAGGUUCGAUCCCUAC